CGCCUAAAAGCUAGCCUCAACAAUUAAAUUCCACUAUUACGCGACUAAAAACUUGUAAUAAAUUUAAAUAAAACAUUUUAACCCCUAAGUAUGGGCGACAAAAAAGGAAAAAAGAGCAACAGAUAAAGUACCGCAAGGGAACGCUGAAAAAGAAAUGAAAUAAACUAUUAAAGCCUAGAACAGCAAAGCUAACCACUUGUACCUUUUGCAUCAUGAUUUAGCAAGUAAACUACAAGCAAAGAGCUCUUUAGUUUGUAACCCCGAAACUGAGCGAGCUACUCCAAGACAGCCUAUAUAAAUAGAUAAGGGCAAAUCCGUCUCUGUGGCAAAAGAGUGGAAAGAGCUUUGAGUAGAGGUGACAAACCUACCGAGCACAGUUAUAGCUGGUUGCCUGGGAAAUGAAUAGAAGUUCAGCCCUUUAAGUUUCCCCCGUCCCCUAAGUAAUUACUAAAAAUGAUAAAGGAAACUAAAGGAGUUAAUCAAAAGGGGUACAGCCCUUCUGAUAGAAGAAACAACUUUAAUAGGUGACUCAAGAUCAUAUUAUUCAAGGACUUCAAUUUAAGUGGGCCUAAAAGCAGCCAUCUCAAUAGAAAGCGUUAAAGCUCAAAUUAACCCUUGUCCUUAUAUUCUGAUAUACUAUCUCCCUCCCUACCCACUUACCAGGCUGUCUUAUGCCCCCAUAAGAACAAUUAUGCUAAAAUGAGUAAUAAGAAGAAUUUAAUUCUUCUCCUAGCACAUGUGUACGUUGGAACGGACCCCCCACCAACAAUUAACCGACCCCAAACCCAGAGGGACUUAAAUUAUAUAAACAAGAAAAACACUUAUUAUAAAUCGUUAACCCCACACAGGUGUGCCCUAAGGAAAGACUAAAAGAGAAGGAAGGAACUCGGCAAACACAAGCCUCGCCUGUUUACCAAAAACAUCACCUCUUGUUACACAAAAUAUAAGAGGCCCCGCCUGCCCUGUGACAAUAGUUUAACGGCCGCGGUAUUUUAACCGUGCGAAGGUAGCGUAAUCACUUGUCUUUUAAAUGGAGACCAGUAUGAAUGGCAUCACGAGGGCUUAACUGUCUCCCCUCUCCAGUCAAUGAAAUUGACCUUCCCGUGCAGAGGCGGGAAUAUUAAUAUAAGACGAGAAGACCCUGUGGAGCUUUAGACCUAAAAUACACCACGUCUAGUAUACUAUAACACCAGUAAAAGCCUAGUGGUUACAUAUUGAAGUGUCUUUGGUUGGGGCGACCGCGGGGUAAAACACAACCCCCUUGUGGACUGGGGAUAUUAUCCCUAAUACUCAGAGCCUCUACUCCAAGUAACAGAAAUUCUGACUUUCUGAUCCGGUAUUACCGAUCAACGAACCGAGUUACCCCAGGGAUAACAGCGCAAUCCCCUCUCAGAGCCCUUAUCGACGAGGGGGUUUACGACCUCGAUGUUGGAUCAGGACAUCCUAAUGGUGCAGCCGCUAUUAAGGGUUCGUUUGUUCAACGAUUAAAGUCCUACGUGAUCUGAGUUCAGACCGGAGUAAUCCAGGUCAGUUUCUAUCUAUAAAAAGCUCUUUUCUAGUACGAAAGGACCUAAAAAAGGAGGCCCAUGCCUAAAGUACGCCUCUCCCCCAACCACUGAAACCUAAUAAAGUGGACAAGGGGGCUUAAAAAUUUCCCAAAAAACAUGGGCUUA
rnacentral:rRNA from 1 species